UACAGAGGGGGCAAGCGUUGUUCGGAAUUACUGGGCGUAAAGGGCGCGUAGGCGGCCUUCUAAGUCGAACGUGAAAUCCCCGGGCUCAACCUGGGAACUGCGUCCGAUACUGGAAGGCUUGAAUCCGGGAGAGGGAUGCGGAAUUCCAGGUGUAGCGGUGAAACGCGUAGAUAUCUGGAGGAACACCGGUGGCGAAGGCGGCAUCCUGGACCGGCAUUGACGCUGAGGCGCGAAAGCCAGGGGAGCAAACGGG
rnacentral:rRNA from 1 species